CACUGCACUUCCAGACACAGCUCGACCCACUCAACAUGUUAAAUCAAUUAUUUGCAGUUUCCGGUUACUUAUACGAUGCAAAGAUGUGUUAAUUCCCGACCGGUUAUCACCAACCUAUAAUUGAAAACACUAUCAUUCAAGCAGUGUAUGAGCUUUGUAAGUGAGUUUGAUACGGCAAGCUUCAGAUCUUGAGGUGUAACCGGGUGCUCCGAUAUCACCCAAUCGCCGGAAGGGAAUCGAGCGAGUGGCUUUCUUCCUCGUCGCCGGAGGAAGGAUCUCGAGGAAAGCGUCGAGCUCCACCACCGUUGGAGGCGACGGCGGCGUCUUCCGAGAUGAGGAGCUUUCUGAGUCAGCUGAACGUCGAAAUUGAAUCCAUCAGACGGAUUCCGCAGUGGAGAUGGAGACGCCGGAGACUUGGAUGAAGCGAUUCUCUGACGCGCACCACGUGUUCGACGGAAUGAGGAGGAGGAGUCGAAUGAGAAAGCGGUUGCGGUGGCGGAGACCAAACGUCGCGAUGCUUGCAAUGAGCGGUUGAUGUCGAUCAGACCUAGCCGCGAAUUCAAAAAUAAAAUUGAUUUUUUUUUUUUAACUUUUAAUUAAGAUAUUAAAAAAUAAAAGAUUCGCGACUGGUGUUGGUGGUAUGUGUUUCUGAAAGCAGGAACGGAGCUUACUAAAAGGAAAAACUAAACGAGAGAACGACGACGUUUGCAGUUUACUAUUGUGCUUGCUUUUUGUCUUCUGAGUGUUUUGUUGUGUCUUUUUUAUGAACAGAAAUUUUUUUAGUGGCAUGGCUGUUGACCAAGAAUCAAGCACAGAGUCACUCCAACAUAUUCCUGAAGCUAAAACCUCAUCUCAAGUUGAGAUGAUGCACGAGGAGAAAGAUGUGUGAUAUUUCUUGUGUUUCCUUUCCUUGCAUGGAGGAAGCGUUCUUAUCCAGUUUAAGAGAUUUUCAACCUGAGCUUUGUGGUACAACAGCUUAACGAGCAUUACAGGAUGGUGUUCAAGAAACAGUGGUGACAGUAGCAUUUACGGUGCGAAGCUAGAUGCAGGGGGCAGUGAUUUUGCUUCUUAAGGGUUUCCAAGUUGAUGAUCAAAUAAAGCUACUUGAACUUCAACUUUCUGGUAAGAAAGCGAUCGAUGCGACUGCUUUUUGAAAUGGCUUGAGAGGUCAAAAGUUGAAGAAGCUGAGUACAGAGACUAGAGUUUGUUCUAAGGUCGUAGCGAAGAUCAGCAUAUGCUCAGGAAGCUAGUGAGCAACUUAGAGAAAUUGUUCCUAAAUAUGAAAUAUAUAUAUUGUAAACCGAAAUUUAUUUGCAAACCGAUUUUAGUUUAUAAAUAAAUUUUAUUUUAUUUUUA